GAUGAACGCUGGCGGCGUUCCUAAUACAUGCAAGUCGAGCGAACAGACGAGGAGCUUACUCCUCUGACGUUAGCGGCGGACGGGUGAGUAACACGUGGAUAACCUACCUAUAAGACUGGGAUAACUUCGGGAAACCGGAGCUAAUACCGGAUAACAUGUUGAACCGCAUGGUUCAACAGUGAAAGACGGUCUUGCUGUCACUUAUAGAUGGAUCCGCGUCGCAUUAGCUAGUUGGUAAGGUAACGGCUUACCAAGGCAACGAUGCGUAGCCGACCUGAGAGGGUGAUCGGCCACACUGGAACUGAGACACGGUCCAGACUCCUACGGGAGGCAGCAGUAGGGAAUCUUCCGCAAUGGGCGAAAGCCUGACGGAGCAACGCCGCGUGAGUGAAGAAGGUCUUCGGAUCGUAAAACUCUGUUAUUAGGGAAGAACAAAUGUGUAAGUAACUAUGCACGUCUUGACGGUACCUAAUCAGAAAGCCACGGCUAACUACGUG
rnacentral:rRNA from 1 species